AAAAACGUGGAGAUAAAUAAGGAGGAAAUGGUUUGGUGGCGGGUGCCACAACCCUAAGUAGUGGGCGCUACACCUUGCUAGGUGGCAGGCGCCACUCUUGCUUGAUGGUGGGCGCCACACCUUUCAUUUGGUGGCAGGCGCCACCUUGUUUCUUGUGGUGGGCACCACACCUUUCAUUUAGUGAUGGGUGCACCUUGUUCUUGUAGUGGGCGCCACCAUUUGCUAUGUGGUGGUGGGCGCCACCUUCUUUCAUU
rnacentral:lncRNA from 1 species